rnacentral:ncRNA from 1 species
CUAAACAAGUCGAUUCGGAAAGUAAACUAACGGGUUUUCUCAGAGAGCUGGAGAUGGUGUGAACCGGCAAAAACAUCGUUUAGUUGAAAAUGGCCGAUGAUUGGCUGGUGCGAAUCUUUAGGAAAAGCAUCAGACGGAGUGGCUCGCGUUAUAGAGCACGCCAUUUUUAAAAAGAUGGUUGCAAAGCUUAUUUAGGCAACUAAAUAAGAAAUCAGAAUGGUAACGCGAAAUUCGCUUCUGUA